UGCUUUCUCUCUCUAUGGCGAUUGGGCGACUUCAUCAGGCCUCUCUCUCGGAUCUCGCCAGAUCUCUCACCAGAUCUGUGAGGAUUUCACCAGAUCGAUGAAGGGUUUGCCAUUUCAUAAACAACCGCAGGGUGCUGUACCACUUGAUGUGCGAGAUUGAAGGCAACCACCUCACUGCUGCCGCUAUUAUCGGUCAUGACGGCACCGUUUGGGCUCAAUCCGCUAAUUUCCCUCAGUAAGGAGUGUUGAGGAUGUCUGGAUUGCUUAUCGCGAUUGUAAGGGGGUUUAGGAUUGUUUAUUAAACCAUUUUUAUCAGCUUAUCGCGUUUCGAUAUCCAGUAAGCAGUUUUGAGGGUGUUUGGAUUGGA